UCAUGGCCUGCUAACUGGUCUUCCAUGGA
rnacentral:piRNA from 1 species